rnacentral:rRNA from 1 species
GGUUAAGUGAUUAAGCGUAGACGGUGGAUGCCUUGGCAGUCAGAGGCGAUGAAGGACGUACUAACCUGCGAAAAGCGAUGGUGAGCUGGUAAGAAGCAUUUGAGCCAUCGAUGUCCGAAUGGGGAAACCCACCUGCAUAAGCAGGUAUCUUAGCGUGAAUACAUAGCGCUAAGAGGCGAACUCGGGGAACUGAAACAUCUAAGUACCCGAAGGAAAAGAAAUCAAUUGAGAUUCCGGCAGUAGCGGCGAGCGAACCCGGAGCAGCCCUUAAGCGGCUUAGGCGUUAGGUGAACAGGUUGGAAAACCUGGCAAUAAAGGGUGAUAGCCCCGUAACCGACGGCGCCUUAGACGUGAAAACGAGUAGGACGGGACACGUGAUAUCUUGUCUGAACAUGGGGGGACCAUCCUCCAAGGCUAAAUACUCCUGACUGACCGAUAGUGAACCAGUACCGUGAGGGAAAGGCGAAAAGAACCCCUGUGAGGGGAGUGAAAUAGAACCUGAAACCGUCUACGUACAAGCAGUGGGAGCCUCCAUGUGGGGUGACCGCGUACCUUUUGUAUAAUGGGUCAGCGACUUAAUGUAAGUAGCAAGGUUAACCGCAUAGGGGAGCCGUAGGGAAACCGAGUCUUAACUGGGCGUCGAGUUGCUUGCAUUAGACCCGAAACCGAGUGAUCUAGCCAUGGGCAGGUUGAAGGUUGAGUAACAUCAACUGGAGGACCGAACUCACUAACGUUGAAAAGUUAGGAGAUGACCUGUGGCUAGGGGUGAAAGGCCAAUCAAACUCGGAGAUAGCUGGUUCUCCCCGAAAGCUAUUUAGGUAGCGCCUCGGACGAAUACUACUGGGGGUAGAGCACUGUUAAGGCUAGGGGGUCAUCCCGACUUACCAACCCUUUGCAAACUCCGAAUACCAGUAAGUACUAUCCGGGAGACACACGGCGGGUGCUAACGUCCGUCGUGGAGAGGGAAACAACCCAGACCGCCAGCUAAGGUCCCAAAGUUAUCGCUAAGUGGGAAACGAUGUGGGAAGGCUCAGACAGCCAGGAUGUUGGCUUAGAAGCAGCCAUCAUUUAAAGAAAGCGUAAUAGCUCACUGGUCGAGUCGGCCUGCGCGGAAGAUGUAACGGGGCUAAGCGAUACACCGAAGCUGCGGCAAUAUCCUUAUGGAUAUUGGGUAGGGGAGCGUUGUGUAAGCUGUUGAAGGUGUGCUGAGAGGCAUGCUGGAGGUAUCACAAGUGCGAAUGCUGACAUGAGUAACGAUAAAGGGGGUGAAAAACCUCCUCGCCGGAAGACCAAGGGUUCCUGUCCAACGUUAAUCGGGGCAGGGUAAGUCGGCCCCUAAGGCGAGGCCGAAAGGCGUAGUCGAUGGGAAACGGGUUAAUAUUCCCGUACUGCUGCUUACUGCGAUGGGGGGACGGAGAAGGCUAGGUGGGCCUGGCGAUGGUUGUCCAGGUUCAAGUGCGUAGGCUGAUUUCUUAGGCAAAUCCGGGAAAUCAAGGCCGAGACACGAUGUCGAGCCACCAAGGUGGUGAAGUCAUUGAUGCCAUGCUUCCGGGAAAAGCCUCUAAGCUUCAGGUAAGUAGGAACCGUACUCCAAACCGACACAGGUGGUCGGGUAGAGAAUACCAAGGCGCUUGAGAGAACUCGGGUGAAGGAACUAGGCAAAAUGGUACCGUAACUUCGGGAGAAGGUACGCUGCCCGCGGUGAAGUCCCUUGCGGAUGGAGCUAUGGGCAGUCGCAGAUACCAGGUGGCUGCAACUGUUUAUUAAAAACACAGCACUGUGCAAAAUCGAAAGAUGACGUAUACGGUGUGACGCCUGCCCGGUGCCGGAAGGUUAAUUGAUGUGGUUAUCGCAAGAGAAGCCAUUGAUUGAAGCCCCGGUAAACGGCGGCCGUAACUAUAACGGUCCUAAGGUAGCGAAAUUCCUUGUCGGGUAAGUUCCGACCUGCACGAAUGGCGUAAUGAUGGCCACGCUGUCUCCACCCGAGACUCAGUGAAAUUGAAAUCGCAGUGAAGAUGCUGUGUACCCGCGGCUAGACGGAAAGACCCCGUGAACCUUUACUACAGCUUGGCACUGAACAUUGAGCCUACAUGUGUAGGAUAGGUGGGAGGCUUUGAAGCGGCGACGCCAGUUGCUGUGGAGCCAUCCUUGAAAUACCACCCUUGUAUGUUUGAUGUUCUAACUUAGCCCCGUUAUCCGGGGUGAGGACAGUGCCUGGUGGGUAGUUUGACUGGGGCGGUCUCCUCCCAAAGCGUAACGGAGGAGCACGAAGGUGGGCUAAUCACGGUCGGACAUCGUGAGGUUAGUGCAAUGGCAUAAGCCCGCUUAACUGCGAGAGUGACGGCUCGAGCAGGUACGAAAGUAGGUCAUAGUGAUCCGGUGGUUCUGAAUGGAAGGGCCAUCGCUCAACGGAUAAAAGGUACUCCGGGGAUAACAGGCUGAUACCGCCCAAGAGUUCAUAUCGACGGCGGUGUUUGGCACCUCGAUGUCGGCUCAUCACAUCCUGGGGCUGAAGUCGGUCCCAAGGGUAUGGCUGUUCGCCAUUUAAAGUGGUACGCGAGCUGGGUUUAGAACGUCGUGAGACAGUUCGGUCCCUAUCUGCCGUGGGCGUUGGAUGAUUGAGGGGAGCUGCUCCUAGUACGAGAGGACCGGAGUGGACGAACCGCUGGUGUUCGGGUUGUGUCGCCAGACGCAUUGCCCGGUAGCUAAGUUCGGCACAGAUAAGCGCUGAAAGCAUCUAAGCGCGAAGCUGGCCCCGAGAUGAGUCAUCCCUAGAGCUUCGAGCUCUCUAAAGGGUUGUCGUAGACGACGACGUUGAUAGGCAGGGUGUGUAAGCGCUGUGAGGCGUUGAGCUAACCUGUACUAAUUGCCCGUGAGGCUUAACCAU